GUCAAUCUAGAAAGGAUUCAUCCAGUGAAGACAAAAAAAGUUCUGAUGAUCAUUCUGACAGCAGAAAAUCUAAUAAGGAUUCAUCCAGUAAAGACAAAAAGAGUGCUAGACACCAUAAGACUAGACAUUCAUCUAGGAAACAUAAAACAUAUGGACAUCGACAUCUUCAUCGACAUCAUAAAC